rnacentral:lncRNA from 10 species
CUCUCUUUCUCCUGUUCCAGCAAUGUAAGAGGAGCUGGCUUCACCUUCACCUUCGCCAUGAUUGAAGGUUUCCUGAGGCCUCCCCAGAAGCUGAACAGAGGCCAGUAUCAUGCUUCCUGUACAGCCUGCAGAACUGUGAGCCAAUUAAACCUCUUUUCUUUAUAAAUUACCCAGACUCAGAUAUUUCCUUAUAGCAAUACAGAAACAGACUAACAUAGUCUCACUCAUAAAGAAGUAUAAGUCAAACCCAUGAUGUGAUACUACUCUACAGCAUUUUUUAAAGAUAAAGCAAUAUUAUUUAUAAGGGUUAGUAAUAUUAUAAAAUGGUACAGUUCUUAGCCAAUUGAAGUAUAUUUUAGUAAUACAUAGAGAAAAUAAUAAAAAUAUUCAGUCCCUUUGACCCAGCAGUUCCAUUUUUGGGGAAUCUUAAAAGGGUGAAGAAGUAGAAAUUACAUAUACCAAGUUGUUUCCAGCAGCAUCAUUUAUACUAGUGAAAAUAAGAAACAUCCUAAAUAUUCAACAGCAACCGACUGGUUAUAUAAUUAUGAUUAGUCCAUAAGGCAGUGGUUCCUAACCUUUUUGGCACCAGGGACUAGUUUUGUGGAAGACAAUUUUUCCAUGGAAGGGGUGGGGAGUGGCAGGGUAGGGUGUGGGGAUAGUUUGGGGAUGAAACUGUUCUACCUCAGAUCAUCAGGCAUUAGUUAGAUUCUCAUAAGGAGAACACAACCUAGAUCCCUGCAUAACAGCUCAGAAUAGGGUUCCUGCUGCUAAAAGAAUCUAAUGCUGCUGAUGAUCUGAUAGGAGGCAGAGCUCAGACAGUAAUGCUCGCUAGCCCUUGGCUUACUUCCUGCCUAACAGGCCAUGGACAGGUACCAGUCUGUGGCCCGGGGGUUGUGGACCCCUGCCAUAGAGGACACUGUGGUCUAUGUUAACUAUAAUAAUUCUACCCACCAACUACCAUCCCAGGCCAAUGAUUGGAUUGCAAAUGGUCAUGACUGAAUUCUGAACAUAAGAGGAAAAGUUUUCUGAGCAGUUUUGGGGAAAGUUAUCUCUCCCCUAAGCAAGAGACACAAGAAGAAACCACCCAUCUUCUAACUCUGAGCACUGUCCUCGAUGUGGCCCCUGGAGCUGCUGCCCUCAUCUUAUGCCACACCUGAGAAUGAAAUCAACACUGAGAAGCGCAUUUUGGAGAUAUGGGAAAGCCCGUGCUUGAUGACAACACUGACCUAUUGAAUCAGUCAACCUAGAGCCUCAGCUUCUAUGCUACCACAUCCACUGGAGUUAGAUGGGGAAGCAGGUUCCUCAUCAGAAUUGCUCAGGAACUCAGACUGACAGAACAGCCACCAUUCUGACCAUUGCCUGUCACUAUGCUAGAGGCCAGACUUGGUGAUUCACUUUUAAAGAAUAGAAGAUGAGGAGCAAUGCUAUGUGACUUUCAAGGCUAGGUCAUAUAAAGAAUGGGUUCUGUCUGGCACUCUCUCUUGGACUACACAUUCUGGAGAAAACAGCAGCCACAUCAUGAGGACACUCAAGCAGUCCUGGGAGAGGUCCAUGUGGAGAGGAAUGAGGUCUUCUGACAACAGCCAGCACUAACUUACCAUCCAUAGCAUGGCAACACAAUUUCCUCAGUUCAUGAACCACAGGUGAGCAUGAGGUUGAUGUCAUGAAAGCAAGCAAAGAGAGGGAAGACCUUUACCUACCCACCAGCUGCCAAUGUGAGCAUUUCAGCACCUAGCAGACAAACUCCACUCUGCCUCUGCGGUCUCAGAGUGACCCGUG